AAGGCCUCUCGGACCCUAUAUAGAGGAGGGGAGGGGAGGCAAGGAGGACCAGCCAGCGCUCUGCAGCCUCCUGACAGCCCACUGAGAGAGAGGAACCCAGCUCUGGACUGUGCUGCACUCAUGAUGGCUUUCCUUCCACAGCUCACUCUCUGCCUCCUGGCUGCUGCUCUCUGCAUCCUCCAGACCCAAGGAAACAAUGGCUCUCUCCAAGACUGCUGCUACGCCACCUCGGCCAUCCCUUUCCCGGUGAACCAGGCAUACCGACUGCACUCUUACCACAUCCAGAGGCCACAGAUGGAAUGCCAACUCCCAGCAGUUGUGUUCAUUACCAAGAAGGGACAUAAACUCUGUUUCCCUCCCAAUGAUGACAGAGCUCGGGAGCUCAUGGAGAUAAUUGAUGCCCGGAAGAAGAGGAAGCAGCAGCAGCAGCAGAGAAAGCAGCAAACCCGCCCCUAGGAGACAGGCUGGACAACAACAGACCAUCCUUGCUACCGGAUGCAUGGAGAGUCUCCUGAAGAAACCUGAUGGCAGCUAAAGUAAACCGAGGCCAAGGCCUCCCUAUGUACCUCCUUCUCCGCUCUUGCCUGCCUGACGGGGUGGGUGGGGGGAGGGAGGGAAGGACCUUUUAAACUCUCCUAUAUAUAACUCUUGCAUAUAUUACUUACCGACUUGCAUUGCCUCCUCCUGCCUUUGCCCAGAGCACCGUCCUGGGGGGUGCUGAGGACUCCAUGGCAGCCUGAGGUCCUGAUGAGCUUUGGGGGUCACACUGAUCAUGUGUGACCUUCAGGAGUCAAUGGAAGCUCCAGCCUGGCCCCAAUGGGGAUGCCAGACCUCAUCCCACGCAGAGUGCCUGGAGAGCUAAGGAGGUGAUGUCUUGGCAAGCUGGAGUUGCAGCACCUUUGGCUUUUCUUUUCUUUUUUUAAACUAAGACAUUAAUCACGAGGUACAUCCUUCAAAAUGGCAGCUUCCCUUUGGGGAUUACGAUAGCAUUCUUAGACAGUGGGAGAUUUUCUCCUCACAAAUGGCAUCUAAAGCUUCUUGAGUGAGUUGAUGAAUGACUAAGAUAGGGGUGUGUGUGUGUGUGUGUGUGUGUGAGAGAGAGAGAGAGAGAGAGAGAGAGAGAGAGAGAGAGAGAGAGAGAGAGUCAUUUAUAUUUCAAUGGAGGAACCUGGCAAACAUUCUCACUGAACUUUUGACAUGCUCUCUGCCAUCAGUGAAUAAUUCUGGGUCUUAAGCCUCCCUGAAAAUCGAUGCAUCCCAGCUUCCCCGCUCUUGGCCUCUCUAGAACAAGGAGUGGUGGUAAUUGGUGGUGGAAAUGGGGAAAUGAUGCAAUAUGAAUGUCCAUAAUGUAGUCUUAGCAAUAUUGUACCAGAAACAUGUAUCAGAUAAACUGCCAUUCUUGCAUAAUCUGUUAAAAUGUUUUAUACUGCAAUCUGCUUAAUAAAAACUGCACACACA